rnacentral:rRNA from 1 species
UCGUACCGAGAACCGACACAGGUGCGCUGGCUUAGAAAGCUAAGGUGCUACGGGUAUACCGUAUGGCGAGGGAAUUCGGCAAAUUAGUCCUGUAGCUUAGGUAUAAGGGAUACCUGCUGUUUUAAUGAGGAAUUGGGAUAGCAGGUUGCAAUGACUAGGGGGUUCCGACUGUUUAAUAAAAACACAGGCGACUGCUAGUCCGAAAGGAUUUGUAUAGUCGCUGAAUCCUGGCCGGUGCAGGUACCUAAAACUUGGGUUCAACCGAGCUAAGGGCCUGUUAACGCCGGGAGUAACUCUGACUCUCUUAAGGUAGCCAAAUGCCUUGUCGGGUAAGUUCCGACGCGCAUGAAUGGAACAACGAGAGCCCCACUGUCCCCGCCUACAACCCGGUGAAGCCACAUAAGGUGGACGAACAGUCCAUCAUCUUCCAUCGGGGAGAGAAGACCCCGUGGAGUUUUACUGCAGCUUGUGCUUGUAGUAUAGUACGAAUUACAUAGUGUAUCUGGUAGCCAUGCCUGAAUUUCUUUGGGAAUUCAGUGAAGCGACGAUGUAACACCAGAUUAUUCUUGCAGUACUUCUUAUCUGAUGCAAAUCAGAAACAGGUGCAGGUAGGCAGUUCGGCUGGGGCGGCACCCCUUUGAAAAGAUAUCAAAGGGGCCCAAAGUUUAGUUCAAACGGGUCAGAAAUCCGUUGAAGAGGGCAAAGCCAAAAACUAGACUGACAGGAUUUCCAAACGCACGGAAUUCUGAGACGAAAGUCUGGCUUAGCGAUCCUUCGUGUGCCCACUAUUGGGGCCCGGAGGUGACAGAAAAAUUACCCCAGGGAUAACAGGCUCGUCGCGGGCGAGAGCUCCUAUCGACCCCGCGGUUUGGUACCUCGAUGUCGGCUUUUCCUAUCCUGGUCCUGCAGCAGGGGCCAAGGGUGAGGCUGCUCGCCUAUUAAAAGGGAACAUGAGCUGGGUUUAGACCGUCGUGAGACAGGUCGGUCUCUGCCUGAUGGAAGCGCGGCUGUCUGAGGGGAAGUUGCUCUCAGUACGAGAGGAACAGAGCAACGUGGCCACUGGUCUACCGGUUGUCUGAUAAGGCAGGCCGGGCAGCU